rnacentral:rRNA from 1 species
UAAGCGGAGGAAAAGAAACCAACAGGGAUUGCCCCAGUAACGGCGAGUGAAGCGGCAACAGCUCAAAUUUGAAAUCUGGUCCCCUUGCGGGGCCCGAGUUGUAAUUUGAAGAGGAUGCUUCUGGCAAGGUGCCUUCCGAGUUCCCUGGAACGGGACGCCGCAGAGGGUGAGAGCCCCGUACGGUAGGACGCCGAGCCUCUGUGAAGCUCCUUCGACGAGUCGAGUAGUUUGGGAAUGCUGCUCAAAAUGGGAGGUAAACCCCUUCUAAAGCUAAAUACCGGCCAGAGACCGAUAGCGCACAAGUAGAGUGAUCGAAAGAUGAAAAGCACUUUGAAAAGAGAGUUAAAAAGCACGUGAAAUUGUUGAAAGGGAAGCGCUUGCGACCAGACUCGCGCCCGUCGGAUCAGCCGUCGCUUGUCGGCGGCGCACUCCGGCGGGCUCGGGCCAGCAUCAGUUCGCCUCGGGGGGAGAAAGGCGGCAGGAAUGUGGCUCCUCGGAGUGUUAUAGCCUGCCGUGUAAUACCCCCGGGCGGACUGAGGACCGCGCGUAUGCAA